UACGGAGGGUGCAAGCGUUAAUCGGAAUUACUGGGCGUAAAGCGUGCGUAGGCGGUUCGUUAAGUCAGAUGUGAAAGCCCCGGGCUCAACCUGGGAACUGCAUUUGAAACUGGCGAGCUAGAGUUGAGUAGAGGGGAGUGGAAUUUCAGGUGUAGCGGUGAAAUGCGUAGAUAUCUGAAGGAACACCAGUGGCGAAGGCGACUCCCUGGACUCGAACUGACGCUGAGGUACGAAAGCGUGGGUAGCAAACAGG
rnacentral:rRNA from 1 species